UGCAAAUUGCACUAGAUACAAUAAAUGAUUGUUGCUUAUGAGUGUGAUUCAGUAAUUAUUUUAGAGAGUAUAUUAAAAUAAUAAUAAUUCUACUAUUAUUGUAAAGGAUAACUCCAUGACUUCACAUAUGGCACUCAUUUCUACACUAGUCGAGUAUGUAAUCUCCACAUUCUUGAAAAAGAUGCAUAUAAUUUACUGAUGCUCGUUCCUUAGCACCUCAAACUAAUAUUAAUUGGUGUGUUUUAGGAAUCAUCCUAGUGAGACUCCAAUUAAAAUUUUCUUAAAAUAUCUUGUAUUUUAAAAUUCUUUACACUUAAAAUCUCUAUUAAAAAAAAUAUAUUGUAUCAAUAUUCUUUUACCAAAUUACCUUUUCUAAAAAAGAGUGAUAAUUUGUUUUCCACGAAAAAUAAAGUUUCAAAGGAAUUCAUAAGUAAAAAAUAAAAAAUUGAGCUAUCAACAUUGAGUUAUGUAAUUUACAUAAAAGGUAAGUAAGAAAAAAAAAAACUACUUUUGGCCUUUAAUUUGUUUCUCUUCUUAUUGAUGCUCUUAUCAUCUUUCAUAAUUUAUUUUACUUUUUUGAGUUACAACAUGUUUGCAAACUUAAAAACUCAAUUGACAUCAUUAAUACUAAUGUAAGUUUAUGUCAUUCAUCAAAAUCAAUCAUCUUAAUUCGAUAGUUCCUCUUUUUUUUAUGGAUGACAAAACUUAAUUUUCAAAUGACAUAUAUAUAACAUGUAAAGGAGCAUUAAAGAGAAAUUGGAAGCUUCUCCUCUUACUAUGUGCUCCCUAUUCUUUUAGUUUUAAAGAAUAAGUAAAAAAUAAGAACUUUUGUCAUAUAUUCAACGAAGUAUCUCAAAAAGCUCAUAAAAACUACUCACUACCACUUUCCAUAUUUAACCAAUAAUAUGAGAAUAGUAUUUCUAGUGAAAGGGAAGAUUCAUUCACUUUUUGUUACAAAGAUUUUGUCUCAAAAAUUUUUCUCUCCUAAAGAGUCAUCGCUACUAUGGAUUGAUCCCCCCCUUUUUCUUCCCUUUAAUCAAAAAGUUAUAUUGGAUUAAAAAAGAAAUCUUUUUCCCUAUUUGAUGUCUUAAGGAUAAAUAAAUAAGAUAAAAAAGACA
rnacentral:lncRNA from 1 species